rnacentral:lncRNA from 1 species
AAUAUAUAUAUAAGUCAAUUUGUCAACAUCAGUUUAUGGGCAUGAUUUCCCAAAAAUUCCAGGCAGCAAGCUCAGCUUAUUGGCGCGAAAACAUGGAAGGAAAAUAUUAUUCAUUAUGAAAUUUCAGCGGUUUGACGCAAAUCCGUAAAUGUGGAAUCAGAAGCUUCUCUAAAAUUUCUUUAACCGACUAAAAACAAAACCAACCGAUAAUCGCCCAUGUAUCUUUUUCUU